rnacentral:rRNA from 1 species
AGCUCCAAUAGCGUAUAUUAAAGUUGUUGCAGUUAAAAAGCUCGUAGUUGGAUUUCUGGUGGGAGCGACCGGUCCGUCCCGCGAGGGAUGCGCACUGGUGUCGCCUCCGGCCAUCCUUGGGGAGAGCGACCCUGGCAUUAGGUUGUCGGGGCCGGGAUCCUCAUCGUUUACUGUGAAAAAAUUAGAGUGUUUAAAGCAGGCUUACGCCGUUGAAUACAUUAGCAUGGAAUAAUAAGAUAGGACUUUGGCGGUCUAUUUUGUUGGUUUGCACGCCAAGGUAAUGAUUAAUAGGGAUAGUUGGGGGUAUUCAUAUUCAAUUGUCAGAGGUGAAAUUCUUGGAUUUAUGGAAGAUGAACUACUGCGAAAGCAUUUACCAAGGAUGUUUUCA